rnacentral:rRNA from 1 species
GAUCUGGCUCAGGAUGAACGCUAGCUACAGGCUUAACACAUGCAAGUCGAGGGGCAGCGAGAGGAAAGCUUGCUUCCUGUCGGCGACCGGCGCACGGGUGAGUAACGCGUAUCCAACCUUCCCCAUAGUAGAGGAUAGCCCGGCGAAAGUCGGAUUAAUACUCUAUGUUGUGUCAUGAGGACAUCUGAAUAACACCAAAGAUUUAUCGCUAUGGGAUGGGGAUGCGUCUGAUUAGGUAGUCGGCGGGGUAACGGCCCACCGAGCCGACGAUCAGUAGGGGUUCUGAGAGGAAGGUCCCCCACAUUGGUACUGAGACACGGACCAAACUCCUACGGGAGGCAGCAGUGAGGAAUAUUGGUCAAUGGGCGCGAGCCUGAACCAGCCAAGUAGCGUGCAAGGAUGACUGCCCUAUGGGUUGUAAACUGCUUUUAUGCGGGAAUAAAGUCAGGUACGUGUACCUGUUUGUAUGUACCGCAUGAAUAAGGACCGGCUAAUUCCGUGCCAGCCGCUGC